rnacentral:rRNA from 1 species
UGGGGAAUAUUGCACAAUGGGCGAAAGCCUGAUGCAGCAACGCCGCGUGAGUGAUGAAGGUCUUCGGAUUGUAAAGCUCUGUCUUUUGGGACGAUAAUGACGGUACCAAAGGAGGAAGCCACGGCUAACUACGUGCCAGCAGCCGCGGUAAUACGUAGGCGGCGAGCGUUGUCCGGAUUUACUGGGCGUAAAGGGUGCGUAGGCGGAUGUUUAAGUGAGAUGUGAAAUACCCGGGCUUAACUUGGGUGCUGCAUUUCAAACUGGAUAUCUAGAGUGCAGGAGAGGAGAAUGGAAUUCCUAGUGUAGCGGUGAAAUGCGUAGAGAUUAGGAAGAACACCAGUGGCGGAGGCGAUUCUCUGGACUGUAACUGACGCUGAGGCACGAAAGCGUGGGUAGCAAACAGGAUUAGAUACCCUGGUAGUCCACGCCGUAAACGAUGAGUACUAGGUGUAGGAGGUAUCGACCCCUUCUGUGCCGCAGUAAACACAUUAAGUACUCCGCCUGGGAAGUACGAUCGCAAGAUUAAAACUCUAAAGUGAAUUGAC